UACGGGGGGGGCAAGCGUUAUCCGGAUUCACUGGGUUUAAAGGGUGCGUAGGUGGGUUGAUAAGUCAGUGGUGAAAUCCCCGAGCUUAACUUGGGAACUGCCAUUGAUACUAUUGAUCUUGAAUACCGUGGAGGUCAGCGGAAUAUGUCAUGUAGCGGUGAAAUGCUUAGAUAUGACAUAGAACACCAAUUGCGAAGGCAGCUGGCUACGCGAAUAUUGACACUGAUGCACGAAAGCGUGGGGAUCAAACAGG
rnacentral:rRNA from 1 species